GACGAACGCUGGCGGCGUGCUUAACACAUGCAAGUCGAACGGAAAGGCCCUGCUUUUGUGGUGUGCUCGAGUGGCGAACGGGUGAGUAACACGUGAGUAACCUGCCCUUGACUUUGGGAUAACUUCAGGAAACUGGGGCUAAUCCCGGAUAGGAGCUCCUGCUGCAUGGUGGGGGUUGGAAAGUUUCGGCGGUUGGGGAUGGACUCGCGGCUUAUCAGCUUGUUGGUGGGGUAGUUGCUUACCAAGGCUUUGACGGGUAGCCGGCCUGAGAGGGUGACCGGCGACAUGGGGACUGAGAUACGGCCCAGACUCCUACGGGAGGCAGCAGUGGGGAAUAUUGCACAAUGGGCGGAAGCCUGAUGCAGCAACGCCGCGUGCGGGAUGACGGCCUUCGGGUUGUAAACCGCUUUCGCCUGUGACGAAGCGUGAGUGACGGUAAUGGGUAAAGAAGCACCGGCUAACUACGUG
rnacentral:rRNA from 1 species